rnacentral:rRNA from 1 species
GACGAACGCUGGCGGCGUGCUUAACACAUGCAAGUCGAACGAAGAGCGAUGGAAGCUUGCCUCUAUCAAUCUUAGUGGCGAACGGGUGAGUAACGCGUAAUCAACCUGCCCUUCAGAGGGGGACAACAGUUGGAAACGACUGCUAAUACCACAUACGAUCUAAUCUCGGCAUCGAGGAAAGAUGAAAGGUGGCCUCUAUUUAUAAGCUAUCACUGAAGGAGGGGAUUGCGUCUGAUUAGCUAGUUGGAGGGGUAACGGCCCACCAAGGCGAUGAUCAGUAGCCGGUCUGAGAGGAUGAACGGCCACAUUGGGACUGAGACACGGCCCAGACUCCUACGGGAGGCAGCAGUGGGGAAUCUUCCGCAAUGGACGAAAGUCUGACGGAGCAACGCCGCGUGAGUGAUGACGGCCUUCGGGUUGUAAAGCUCUGUUAAUCGGGACGAAAGGCCUUCUUGCGAACAGUUAGAAGGAUUGACGGUACCGGAAUAGAAAGCCACGACUAACUACGUG